AAGGGAGACCUAAUUCAGGUAGGAGACGAAAAAAAGUAGUCCCUACCAAGUAUCAAUCCCAAAAGGUCGGAGCGAGGCAAAAUUGGCUUUCAAACUAGGUUCUGGGUUCACAUAAGACCUGAAUCAGGAACAAGGGCUAUUAGCUCAGGUGGUUAGAGCGCACCCCUGAUAAGGGCGAGGUCCCUGGUUCGAGUCCAGGAUGGCCCACCUGCACAGGUGGCAAAAACAAAGAAAAGAAGCUCCGAAUCAGCACCUUAUCUUACUCAUAUAGUAAGAGAGAAUGCUGGCUCUGAGUUCAGAGUCCAGAGGAACCUUGGAAACUGCAUAGAGCUAGGUGAAAAGCCAAAAAAGAAGACCGCAAGGUCACGCUAAUAAGGGCUAACGGUGGAUACCUAGGCAC
rnacentral:tRNA from 1 species